AGAUAAGCACAGUAAGCAGCGAGGGCUCGGCCUGAGAAAUACAUACACACUUACAGACACACAUACAUAUAUACACAGAGGAUAGCAGUCCUUCAACAGGAUUUUGCAGGUUUCACUAGCACUUAUACAAAAGAGCAGAGAAGGGAAGGAAAAAGAGAAGAGAAGAGAAGAGAAGAGAAGAGAAGAGAAGAGAAGAGAAGAGAAGAGAAGAGAAGAGAAGAGAAGCAGAGACAAAGCAGUCUGCAUAUGGAAAAGUUCGGCCAUGUGCACAGGUGCCGUCAUGUCCGGGUGAAUGCGGCUCACCAGACACUGGGGCUGGACAGGGAGAAGACUAGAAGAACCAGCACAUGCAAGCAACGUUCAGCCAUCAGGAAAUACUCCUUUCACCCAGACUGAGUUCAGAGGAUUCACAUUCCAGUUUCAUUUUAUACAUGAUUAUGCCA